rnacentral:rRNA from 1 species
CAGCAGCCGCGGUAAUACGAAGGGGGCUAGCGUUGCUCGGAAUUACUGGGCGUAAAGGGCGCGUAGGCGGACAGUUAAGUGGGGGGUGAAAGCCCGGGGCUCAACCUCGGAAUUGCCUUCAAUACUGGCUGUCUUGAGUACGGGAGAGGUGAGUGGAACUCCGAGUGUAGAGGUGAAAUUCGUAGAUAUUCGGAAGAACACCAGUGGCGAAGGCGACUCACUGGCCCGUUACUGACGCUGAGGCGCGAAAGCGUGGGGAGCAAACAGGAUUAGAUACCCUGGUAGUCCACGCUCGUAAACGAUGAGUGCUAGUUGUCGGCUAUGCUAUGCUAUGUCGGUGACGCAGCUAACGCAUUAAGCACUCCGCCUGGGGAGUACGGUCGCAAGAUUAAAACUCAAAGAAAUUGACGG